UGGGGAAUAUUGGACAAUGGGCGCAAGCCUGAUCCAGCCAUGCCGCGUGAGUGAUGAAGGCCUUAGGGUUGUAAAGCUCUUUUGUCCGGGACGAUAAUGACGGUACCGGAAGAAUAAGCCCCGGCUAACUUCGUGCCAGCAGCCGCGGUAAUACGAAGGGGGCUAGCGUUGCUCGGAAUCACUGGGCGUAAAGGGCGCGUAGGCGGCCUUGUAAGUUGGGGGUGAAAGCCCGUGGCUCAACCACGGAAUUGCCUUCGAUACUGCUUGGCUUGAGUGUGGUAGAGGUUGGUGGAACUGCGAGUGUAGAGGUGAAAUUCGUAGAUAUUCGCAAGAACACCGGUGGCGAAGGCGGCCAACUGGACCAUCACUGACGCUGAGGCGCGAAAGCGUGGGGAGCAAACAGGAUUAGAUACCCGCGUAGUCC
rnacentral:rRNA from 1 species